ACGAAAAAUACUGUAAAUACCGUAAAUACACUGCGUGAAACGAAAUCUCAAUCAAAGUUGAAAGUUCAACUUCGUAAUUCUUUCAUUUCUUUCGAUCUUUCCGCCAUAAUUCAAUAUAAAUAAAUUUUCAACUGGUUUCAGAUAAGCAUGUACAGAAUGAAGACGUCAAUUCUAAAGAAUAUAGCGCCAUUCAUUCCAAAUGCGGCGAGUCCAGAAAGAUUUACAUUGUGGAUUCUGAACUCCAGUAGGAAUUAUAGCACCGAAGGGUCGACUAAUCAUUCUUCAAAACCUUCGAUAUCAAGUGAAAGAAUCAUCCGGCUUGAAACAAAAUUGAAAAAGGCUGCAGAAAAAGUCCUAACGAUGCUAGUUACGUCCAAGGUAUAGAAACAGCUAGAGAAAUACUUUAUGAGGAAAUAGCAAUUAUGGAAACUGAAUCGGAUAAAUUUAAAAUUAAAACUCGACGUGCAUUAUUGAUACAGCGAAAAAAGAUGAAAACGAAAUCGGAUUAAUUGAAGACUCAACCUACAUCAUUGAUACAGCGAGAUGAGCGUGAAACGAAUACGAUCAAGGCAGCAUUAGUCGAUGCAGGUUUGUGGUAUCACUACAAACAUAAAACGAAAAUAUGGUCGUCGAUCCCGUUUUCGUCUCAGAUAGAGAAGUUUCUUGAGAUUGAGAAGACCAACUCCGUGGCAAAUCCUACGUUAAGUAAUAAAGAUGAUCUUCACGAUUAGAUUGCUGUCGUUCCCUGGAUCACAUCUAUUAUAGAAUGGAAGGAAGAGCAGCAGUGAUCUAAAAAUGUUUUUCUUCUUUUUUUUAAAAAAUAAAAUGUGAUUCAAAUUUUUGUUGUGAUACCGUCCCAUGAUCAAAAGUUCCUUGAAUUUUGAUCAUGGUUUUUCCAAUAACUUUAAUUUCUAAGCUGUGGUGUGUUGAAUUAAUUGUUUUUAAAGCUAUUAUUGUAUUUACAUGUAUUCAUAGCAAACGGUCAUAAAAUUUUUUAAAUUAUGAAAGUUUGUUAUUUUAAUUUGGUAUACCUACCCUAGAUAAUGCGUUUAUAGAAUUUCGUUUCAUUUUCGUAUUUUUCCCCCUUUUUCUUGUUCUUUUUCAUCACUUUUAAAAUUAAAAGAUUCAUUUUUUUUUUAAAGAAACCUUAUGAGAUUUUGUUUUUAUUUAAAGAUUAUUUUUCGACUUUCAAUUUUGAAUUCAAUUUGAUUUUUUAGAAUAAGAAUCAGUAUUGAUCGAUCGAAACAAACUCGAAAUAUUAAUUGAAUAAACCUACUGAUUUCCACAUUUCAUUCAAUAAAUAUCGAGAAUAUCAAUACUGUCUUUUUUUU